rnacentral:tRNA from 1 species
CUUUCUGUGGCUUAGUUGGUUAAAGCGCCAGUCUAGCGACUACGAAGCCGUGGGUUCAAAUCCCACCAGAUCGC